rnacentral:rRNA from 1 species
UACGUAGGGGGCAAGCGUUGUCCGGAUUUAUUGGGCGUAAAGAGCGUGUAGGCGGCCAGAUAGGUCUGUUGUGAAAACUCGAGGCUCAACCUCGAGACGCCGAUGGAAACCAUUUGGCUAGAGUCCGGAAGAGGAGAGUGGAAUUCCCGGUGUAGCGGUGAAAUGCGCAGAUAUCGGGAAGAACACCCGUGGCGAAGGCGGCUCUCUGGGACGGUACUGACGCUGAGACGCGAAAGCGUGGGGAGCGAACAGG